UUUAAGUUUCAGCGGGUAUCCCUACCUGAUCCGAGGUCAAGAGUGUAAAAAGUACUUUUUGGACGUCGUCGUUAUGAGUGCAAAGCGCGAGAUGUACUGCGCUCCGAAAUCAAUACGCCGGCUGCCAAUUGUUUUUAAGGCGAGUCUACGCGCAAGGCGAGACAAACACCCAACACAAGCAGAGCUUGAAGGUACAAAUG
rnacentral:misc_RNA from 1 species